rnacentral:rRNA from 1 species
AUUGAACGCUGGCGGCAGGCCUAACACAUGCAAGUCGAACGAGUGGCGGAGGGGUGAGUAGUGUCUGGGACACUGCCUGAGGGAGGGGGAUAACUACUGGACACGGGAGCAAAUCCCGCAUACCAUCGGAUGUCCCCAGAUGGGAUUCGCUUGUGGGUGGGGUAACGGCUCACCUAGGCGACGAGCCCUAGCUGGUCUGAGAGGAUGACCAGCCACACUGGAACUGAGACACGGUCCAGACUCCUACGGGAGGCAGCAGUGGGGAAUAUUGCACAAUGGGCGCAAGCCUGAUACAGCCAUGCCGCGUGUAUGAAGAAGGCCUUCGGGUUGUAAAGUACUUUCAGCGGGGAGGCGUUACCCGAAGAAGAAGCACCGGCUAACUCCGUGCCAGCAGCCGCGGUAAUAG